AGCUUUUCACCCCCUCGGGCCGCGGCUAAACGCUGCGCGAGCCAAGUAGUCUGGAAAAUCUCCACUUUCUUAUUUCUUGCCCUGCUUCCUCUGAUCGGAAAUUUGGAGGUAAAGAAGAAUACCACAUAAUAAAAACAAAAAAGAAGCAAAAGAAAUGGGUUCGUCCUCGUCAUUCAGAGCAUUUGGCGCUAUUCUUCACAGGUUCUCUCAUGGCUUCUCCUCCAAAUGCCCCAACUCCUUUGGUCUCCGAAGAAAUGGUUUGCUAAGCAGAAAUUUAUCAUCCUCAUCAACAAUAUCACAGCUCUCCUCAUUGUAUUUGGUUGAAAACAAGUAUAGCAGGCGUUAUGUUCAAGUGAGAAUGAUAUGGACAUUCUCUCCUGUUUGUAUGGGCAGGCGUUCCUCCAAAAUCGCUGGCAGAAAGGGGGCGCAAGAUGCAAAGAAGGCAAAGCUAUAUUGUAGGAUUGGAAAGGAAGUCGUAUCUGCUGUAAAGAAAUGGGGUCCAAAUCCAAUAUCAAAUACGGCUCUGGCUGCUGUACUUGAGAAAGCCAAGGAGCUUGAUGUGCCAAAGGAAAUUCUGGACCGCAAUAUUAAGAAAGCUUCUGAGAAGGGACAAGAGGCAUACAUUGAAAAAAUUUACGAGGUAUAUGGUUAUGGUGGAGUUAGUAUGGUAGUUGAGGUCUCAACAGAUAAGAUAAAGCGGUCUAUAGCAGUUGUUAGAGAGGUAGUGAAGGACUAUGGGGGAAAGAUGGCAGAUCCAGGAUCUGUAAUGUUCAAGUUCAGACGUGUCCGGGUUGUAAAUGUAAAGGUCACAGAUGUUGACAAAGACCAGCUCCUUGCCAUUGCUUUGGAUGCUGGUGCUGAGGAUGUUAUUGAACCUCCAAUAUAUGAAGAUGAUACUGAAGAAGAUAGGUCGGAAAGAACGGUUCAAACCUGGAAUUGUGUAUACUCGACGUCUACCAACUUUGCCCCUUCCCGAGACUGACCCUUCAUCCGAAACUGUUUCGACAACUUCUCUUGAGAUUGACAUGUCAUUCAAGACAGGUCCGAUCAAUUCUCCCAUGCCCCCUGAGCCUGGUCCUCGACGAUCUACUUGAGUAUCAUGUCCUCCUGAUCAGUAUGGUUUUUCCCACACUUCUUUUAAUGCUACUUUGUCUUCUAUUUCCAUCCCUACAUGCUUUUCCAAGGCAGUUAAACAUGAAUGUUGGCGAAAAGCAAUGGAUGAGGAACUUCAGGCUCUCAAGGACAAUCAUACAUGGGACGUGGUUCCUUGCCCCUCUAAUUUUAAAGCCAUCGGUUGUAAAUGUGCUUACUCAAUUAAGCUCUGCUCUGAUGGGACUCUGGACCGGUAUAAUGCACGGUUAUUUGCCCUUGGGAACAUGCAAGAAUAUGGGGUGGACUAUGAGGAGACAUUUGCUCCGGUGGCGAAGAUGACUAUAGUGCGUACGGUUAUUUCUAUUGCCUCCUCCCAAGGUAGGCCACUUCACCAGAUGGACGUCAAAAAUGCUUUUCUUCAUGGUGAUCUCAAAGAGCAUAUUUACAUGACUCCUCUUCUGGGUUUGUUUUCUUCUCCGUCAUUCGCUGUGUGUAAGUUAAAGCGGUCUCUCUAUGGCUUAAAACAAGCUCCCCGGGUAUGGUUUGAAAAAUUCAGGUCUACUCUGUGUUGCUUCUCCUUUGUCCAAAGCUACUAUGACUCCUCUUUGUUUCUUUGCAAGACUCCGACUGGUCUCGUUCUUUUACUUGUGUAUGUGGAUGAUAUUGUCAUUACUGGCAUUGACUCCAACUUGAUUGCCCACCUCAAGCAGAAUCUUCAGGCUUCUUUUCAUAUGAAAGACCUUGGUCCUCUUACGUAUUUUUUGGGGUUGGAAGUGCACACUGAUUUUUCAGGUAUAUUCUUGAAUCAAUACAAAAUAUACCCAGGAUUUGAUUAGCCUGGCUGGUCUUCAGGAUUCUUCUUCGGUGGAUACUCCUAUGGAGGUCAAUGUUAAAUAUUGAAGUGAGGAGUGUGAUCUUCUUUCUGAUCCUACUGUGUUCCGAUAGUUGAUAGGUAGCUUGAACUAUUUGACUAUUACUCGGCCUGAUAUUUCCUUUGCUGUCCAGCAGGUUAGCCAAUUUAUGCAAACUCUAUGCCAUCUUCAUUUAGCUGCUGUUCGCUGGAUCAUUCGAUAUCUUCAGGGGUCACCUAGCUAUGGGUUGUUCUUUCCAAUCGGCUCCUCUUCGCCUUGUUGCUUAUAGUGAUGCGGAUUGGGCCGGAUGUCUUGAUACUCGGCGGUUUGUCACGGGUUGGUGCAUGUAUCUUGGUGAUUCUUUGAUCUCUUGGAAGAGUAAGAAACAAGCUUGUGUUUCUAAAUCCUCUACUGAAUCCGAAUACCGGGCAAUGUCUGCUUCUUGUUCUGAGAUUGUCUGGCUUCGUGAGCUUCUGGCUGAGCUUGGUUUUUCUCAAUCUGAUUCUACUCCUCUUCAUGUUGAUAAUAUUAGUGCCAUUCUAAUCACUGCUAAUCCUGUUUACCAUGAGCGUACAAAGCAUAUUGAGAUAUUAUAAAAUUGUAAGUUCAUCAGAGAACUACACGGCAAUACUAUCAAAACUACGCGAGGAAGGGAUACAUUUUGAGCCUG